ensembl:miRNA Mir7677 microRNA 7677
AGUGGUGAGCAGAAAGCAGCCGCGGUGUGUGGCACCGUCGCUCACCGGCUGUGUCCUCUCACCUAGG